UUGACCUCGGAUCACGCAGAGGAUACCCGCUGAACUUAAGCAUAUCAAUAA
rnacentral:rRNA from 1 species